UCUCCAAACCAGCAGAUCCAUCACCAUCUCUCCGAGCUGCCGAUCGUCGCCAUCUCAUCUUCGAAUUGGUGGGCUGUUUUCCAAGAUUCGGCAAAAUGAUCGACUGGCUGUAAGCAAGCUUGUUACAAGCUUGACAAAGGGAUCAGUCCGGUCACCUUUAGCUCAGUGUCUUCUGAUCCGCUACACUAGCCAGGAAUCAUUUUUUUAUAGUCAAG